UUUAUUUCACUCUCAAACACAAUUGCAAACACACUCACAAACACACUCCUCUCUACCUCUCUCUCACACUCUCCACCGGUGCUCAUCCUCCACCAUCUCCACCAUCUUUUCACGACAAGAUCACCAAAAAACUCUUUAGGAGUCUUUAAGGCAUCUGCAUCUCUUUUAUUUGAGGUUCUAUCUAAUCUCCUUUGGACCUUUGAGAAUAAGGCUUUUUGCGGGUUGCAAGAGUAGGCAACGAUCGUUUUGAGACAAGUUUUUAUGGCUAGCAAUGAGACCAACUACUAAUGGAGGUUGGACUUUUGUUAUGGUGAUCAUCAGAUGAACGCACUAGAAUAGGCUUGACUCAUUCUUUUAUAUCUAAUAGUGGUUAUAACUUUAUUUCCACUAAUGGGACAAAUUAAUGAUAUGUAAUUGUAUUUAUUUAGACCUCCA